rnacentral:rRNA from 1 species
GAUGAACGCUGGCGGCGUGCCUAAUACAUGCAAUUAGAACGCUUUAGGCUGAGCUUGCUCUUCUGGAUGAGUUUCGUACGGGUGUGUAACGCGUAGGUAACCUGCCUGGUAGCGGGGUAUAACUCUUGGCAACGAUAUCUAAUACCGCAUGACACCAGUUAUUGCAUGAUAACUGUUUAAAAGGGGCAACUGCUCCACUACCAGAUGGACCUGCGUUGUAUUAGCUAGUUGGUGAGUUAACGGCUCACCCAGGCGACGAUACAUAGCCGACCUGAGAGGGUGAACGGCCAGACGGAGACUGUGACACGGCUCAGACGCCUACGGGAGGCAGCAGUAGGGAAAUUAAGGCAAUGGACAGAAGUCGGACCGAGCAAAGCCGCGUAAGUGAAGAAGGAGUUCGGAUCGUAAAGCUCUGUUGUAAGAGAAGAACGAGUGUGAGAGUGGAAAGUGCACACUGGUACGGGAAAUUACCAGAAAAGGACGGAUAAAUAAGUG